rnacentral:rRNA from 1 species
GGCUCAGAACGACGCCGGGCGGCGUGCCUAACACAUGCAAGUCGCGCGAGAAAAGGGGGGCAACUCCCUGAGUAAAGCGGCGAACGGGUGAGUAACACGUAGGUAAUCUACCCUCGAGUCCAGGAUAACCUACCGAAAGGUGGGCUAAUACCGGAUAUGACCACGGGAGUUCCGGCUCCUGCGGUGAAAGGUGGCCUCUGCUUGCAAGCUACCGCUCGAAGAUGAGCCUGCGCGCCAUUAGCUAGUUGGUGGGGUAACGGCCCACCAAGGCGAUGAUGGCUAGCUGGUCUGAGAGGAUGGCCAGCCACACUGGGACUGAAACACGGCCCAGACUCCUACGGGAGGCAGCAGUGGGGGAUAUUGCGCAAUGGGCGAAAGCCUGACGCAGCGACGCCGCGUGGGUGAUGAAGGCCUUCGGGUCGUAAAGCCCUGUCGGGGGGGAAGAAACGAUCCCGACCCAACACGUCGGGAUCCUGACGGUACCCCUAAAGGAAGCACCGGCUAACUCCGUGCCAGCAGCCGCGGUAAUACGGAGGGUGCGAGCGUUGUUCGGAAUCACUGGGCGUAAAGGGCGUGUAGGCGGUCCGCUAAGUCUGAUGUGAAAGCCCGGGGCUCACCCCCGGAAGUGCAUUGGAAACUGGCGAACUCGAGUCCCGGAGAGGAGAGUGGAAUUCCUGGUGUAGCGGUGAAAUGCGUAGAUAUCAGGAGGAACACCGGUGGCGAAGGCGGCUCUCUGGACGGUGACUGACGCUGAGACGCGAAAGCGUGGGGAGCAAACAGGAUUAGAUACCCUGGUAGUCCACGCUGUAAACGAUGAGCACUAGGUGUCGUGGGUAUUGACCCCCGCGGUGCCGUAGCUAACGCAUUAAGUGCUCCGCCUGGGGACUACGGCCGCAAGGUUUAAACUUCAAAU